AACGCGAAGAACCUUACCUACCCUUGACAUGGUCGGAAUCCUGCUGAGAGGCGGGAGUGCUCGAAAGAGAACCGGCGCACAGGUGCUGCAUGGCUGUCGUCAGCUCGUGUCGUGAGAUGUUGGGUUAAGUCCCGCAACGAGCGCAACCCUUGUCCUUAGUUGCUACGCAAGAGCACUCUAAGGAGACUGCCGGUGACAAACCGGAGGAAGGUGGGGAUGACGUCAAGUCCUCAUGGCCCUUAUGGGUAGGGCUUCACACGUCAUACAAUGGUCGGAACAGAGGGUUGCCAACCCGCGAGGGGGAGCUAAUCCCAGAAAACCGAUGUAGUCCGGAUUGCACUCUGCAACUCGAGUGCAUGAAGCUGGAAUCGCUAGUAAUCGCGAUCAGCAUGC
rnacentral:rRNA from 1 species